GAUGAAGAACGCAGCGAAAUGCGAUAAGUAAUGUGAAUUGCAGAAUUCAGUGAAUCAUCGAAUCUUUGAACGCACAUUGCGCCCCUUGGUAUUCCGAGGGGCAUGCCUGUUCGAGCGUCAUUACACCACUCAAGCUAUGCUUGGUAUUGGGUGCCGUCCUUAGUUGGGCGCGCCUUAAAGACCUCGGCGAGGCCUCACCGGCUUUAGGCGUAGUAGAAUUUAUUCGAACGUCUGUCAAAGGAGAGGACUUCUGCCGACUGAAACCUUUUAUUUUUCUAGGUUGACCUCGGAUCAGGUAGGGAUACCCGCUGAACUUAAGCAUAUCAAUAAGCGGAGGA
rnacentral:misc_RNA from 1 species